AUGUCAUAUCAUCAGAUACUAUGAUACUAUACUACAAAGACAAUGGCACCAUAGUCCUUGCUAAGGAGCCUAGGUCUCAUUAGAUAUUCAAACAUAUAGAGUAACAGAAUACACAACUACCUCAAGUAGAAAUACAUAGAGGUGCAAAGAGCAAACUUUACAUGAGAUGUGGUUAACCCACUGGUAAGUCACUUAGCUGGCCG
rnacentral:lncRNA from 1 species